CAAGGGCGAGGAUGGGGCGGCACCUCACGUAAGCAUUAACAAAUUCAUAUGAUAGAGCAGCGAGCGAGUUUGACAGGCCAGUGAACCUCAGCACUCUGCCUGGCGAGGUACUGACGUCACGGUGAGUCGACGUGACGUCACUACCUCCUGGCUCAGAGGCUCAGCUGUCAACUUGUCGCGCCUAGUGAGCUGCCCACCCCUUCCCCCCCUCCUCACCCCUCGCCCCUCAAUGGCCUCAGCUGUCACACGAUGGAAGGGGAGUGGUCGUGCCCGGCUCGGCUUGAGGGGCAUGCACUUGAUUUGUUAUAGUGUAAAGAUGUGAUUUCAUGAGGCUGGAGGACGGCUGCUUGUAACAAGCUCAUGCAAUCUUUACUGAAGUUGCCACCCAUAUAUCUCUACUACUACUAAUGCUUCUGCUGCUACAAAGAACUUCAACGGCAACAGUAAUUAUGAUGACAAUAAUAAUAACAAUGAGGACGAGGUUUAGCUGCGCCUUUUUCCCUGCACUCCAUCAGCAGACAGCUCUUCAAAAUUCGGUGCCGCCAGGGCCAGUCAGUGAGGUGUCCGAAGCUCGACGUGCAGUGUGACCGUGUUAAUAAGCAGCCGUCCGCCUUUGUGCCAAAUUCUGGGUUAGGAUGCACAGAAAACGCAUCUCACCGGCUUGGAGGAAAAUGGGAACUCGCAACUGAGAUGCUUGAACCCCAGUGACCUUAACAUGAAUAUUUCCGCGGGGUCAGUCCUCGGCGCCCGGCUCUGUGCUGUCCCCCGUGAGGUUGGUAUACUUUGAUCCUCCAUGCCACUGGAAAGACACAGCGUAAUGCUCAGGGCAGCAGUGAAAUGUAAGGAGUGAAUGCACCUGUUGGUCCUCAGCCAGUGCUUACAGCCGACUCAAGGUGCGUCACCCCCGAUACUCCUCCUGUCUCUCGUCCACAGCCCCUCUAUCUGCCCAAGAUCACCCUAGGCACAAUUCAGCAAACGCGUUACUUUUUCAGGUUGUGAUUUUAAAAUGCACGUUUACCACUGUAACAUAUUAAUGGACUCUCAUGAUCUUGUGAAUCGUGUGUUUUAGGCAAGUGGAAAAUCUCCCAUCGGAUCCAGCGCAGACUGGCACGCUCGUCCCCAGCCUGUCUGAGCAGAUGUCUACCAGCGAUCUGCGAGUAGGAGCCGAGGGUUGGUGUGUGCGUGGUGCAUGGAAACUUUUAUUUUAUCAGUAUUUUGUUCAUGUUAUGUGAAGUGAUAAAACGUGUAUAGCGGCGCGAAUAACGCAUGAAAGUGUCGUGGUCUCGUACGGAAUGGAAGCGUAGGAGAUGCGAGUACUGGGCAGCGGUACGGAGAUGUAGAAGUGUAGUGAUGUUGGCGAGGAGGAUCCGUGGCUGCAAGAUGUGAGCGAGAGAAGACUAGGAGGUACUUUAAUGAAAUAUGCGCCCCGGGCCGUCCCUGAGCCUUGCCAGUGAAGCUCCACCGCAACUUCUCAACUUUUCUUUGUUUCUUGUGCAAGUGUAGAUAGAUCGAGGGUGCGUUCCCCGAGCUCGGCCUGCCAGCCCUGUCCUGUCACCCGCGCCCGGCUCACACAAAAAUUAGCCGUCGGCACUGUGGAGGAGGUAAAAUUCUUCAGACGAGGAGAGAAGCGCUCUGUGUUCUGGAAUAAAGAAGACAUGUGCAUGGCAGUGUUAAAAAAUGUUGCAACUCACCUCGUGAACUGCUGCCGGAGGUGUGCAGCGGCCCCCCCGAGGUGUCAUGGGAGGUGACAUUCGAGGUGGACGAGCAACUUGAGGGUAAGCUGCGUCGCGGGGCUCCCUGGAUGACAGCUGAGGACGAGCCUGUUACCGUGACCGCUGCAUCUCGGCCCAGCAGACGAGAUGGUUCCUCUCGGGUGUGGCAGCAACAGUGAUCAGUCCCUCACCAGGUCCUCGUCGGCUCCCCCUUGGCCGCCUUUCUCCUCGCAGUGACAUCAGGUCAUUACGAGAGAGCCAGCAAGGGAUGGUGCCCGGUCUUGUAUACUGAGAAAAGAGAAUACCGGAGUCCCAGGAGGUUUACCAUUGCCAUAGUGAAGAGGAAUUACGUGCCAUGGCAGAUAGAGGAGCAUGCACAGUGCCAAGCUAGUGUAGUGCCAGUGUCGCGGUGCCAUUCAGGUUACGAGUUGGUGUUAGUCGAGCGGAGUGAAUGAGAACCGUCCUUAGUGGUGCGUCAUCCACUGUGAUUCAAGUGCCAAAAUACGUGUUCAUUCCGAGUGAAAAGUAAGAACCACGUUAUUUAUGAAGUUGUUAUUGGUUGCAUGUGCGUUUUCGUCCGUGUGUGAACGUUGAUGAGUGGUUCGCAAACUCCUCCCACAGUUAAGUGCAAUAAAGCGGAUUAAAACGGGGAUCAGAAAACUUGAAAGCUGUAAGUGUUGAAAAGUGACACUGCCUUCAGUAUUUUGACAGUACAGUUUUAUGGGACGUUGUCAAAACUAUGCUGUUCAGCUUACCUCAAGAAACAAAUCCUCAGCGACGCGACCAAGCCUAGUGAUAAGGAAAGUGAGGAGAAGUAAUUGAAGUGGAUAAAUAGUUCUUUUGAAACGUAAACGAAAGGACUGGCGCAAUGAAAGGCAUACGGGAAUACGGGUUUGUGCUGCACUGCUAUGUGUGGCGGGGGUGACGCCCUUUACGAGUGACGCCACGGCUGCUGGUGUGUGUAUCCGCCGGUGUGUGGCGCGUGUGGGCCGAGCACGCGGCGGGCACCCCACAUCCGUGACUCACCAAGAUGGGGCAGAGCCACGCCCGACUCAACGACUCCGAGCGCAAGACGAACUCCAGCUUCUCGCACGACUCUGACAUCAGCCUCAGCACCCACAGCGCCGACUUCUCCCUCACGCCGCCCAGGUCCCGCAAGGCCGUGUCCUUCCAAGGUGAGUCCUACACAUGUCCUGCAAUUCAUCCUAACCCCUUACACUCUUUCUGUCUAUUGUAAACUCCCAGUGUCGUGCUCCAAAUCCUGCACGCUUCCCUUUCCCUAGGUCCCUCGAAUCCUGCAUGUCUCCUGAUCCUUAUAAUCUGUCCAGCUUCACUACUUCUAUCCAACUUCUAUUCCUCUUGUGCUCCUCAACCCUUGCGUCCCCCUCAACCCUUGGCCAUUAGGAGUUUGUAAUGACUGCCGUAAGCACCAACCCAUGCAGCCCAGCGCAGAGACUUG